GAUGAACGCUGGCGGCGUGCCUAAUACAUGCAAGUCGAACGAAACUUCUUUAUCACCGAGUGCUUGCACUCACCGAUACAGAGUUGAGUGGCGAACGGGUGAGUAACACGUGGGCAACCUGCCCAAAAGAGGGGGAUAACACUUGGAAACAGGUGCUAAUACCGCAUAACCAUAGUUACCGCAUGGUAACUAUGUAAAAGGUGGCUAUACUACCGCUUUUGGAUGGGCCCGCGGCGCAUUAGCUAGUUGGUAGGGUAAAGGCUUACCAAGGCAAUGAUGCGUAGCCGAAUUGAGAGGUUGAUCGGCCACAUUGGGACUGAGACACGGACCAAACUCCUACGGGAGGCAGCAGUAGGGAAUCUUCCACAAUGGGCGAAAGCCUGAUGGAGCAACGCCGCGUGGGUGAAGAAGGUCUUCGGAUCGUAAAACCCUGUUGUUAGAGAAGAAAGUGCGUGAGAGUAACUGUUCACGUUUCGACGGUAUCUAACCAGAAAGCCACGGCUAACUACGUG
rnacentral:rRNA from 1 species